UUUGGUGUCAAGGGCAAGGAAAGGCAGCUGAUGCAGACUGUGUGGUGCCACCACCCACACACCUGUUCACUCUGCAGAAAGUGUUACUGGCCUCAGGUGCGGUGCCUUUCCCUGGAAGAGUCCUCAGAGUGCACAAAUCUCAUCCCCACUCACCAGGCCUAAGGUCCAAUCUCAGACACUGGAUAUAGGCCAUGAAGACAGCCAACAAGGAGGGAGAAAGCCAGCCAGGGCUAAUGAGACAAAGUAGGUGAAUGGAUUUUGUGCAGGGAUUCUCAGAAAACUGGACCCCUUGAAACUGCUGUAGCAUUUCCCCGAAGGAUCUCAAAGAACGUUGCAAACAGGACUGGAUGACAUUCCACGUGAGACUCCCUCAGCAAUAGAUGUCAGAGCCAAGCCUGUAUCUGUGUCUCUAUUCCCAACCUCAAAAUGCUGCUGUUAACAUCUGGAAGAAAAGAAACAGCCUCUGGGUUACAUAAGAAUUCAGGUUGUUGCCUCCUGGGUUUGACGCUCACAAGAAGUCUUGGGAAAAUGGAGUGCGGUGUCGGAAGCAGAGCCCGUCUAUCGGCUCUUGGCUACCAGUCACUUAUUUUCCUUAUGAUUAAGGAGCUUGAAAGUUUUCACACCCAAGACCCUGUAUUUGUAAUAAAACGUAUCUAAAAACCAACUAGAAAUAGUAUAAAUGCCUUUAACUGCUGCAUAUUUGCGCCAUCAGACUCUACUAAAAUCUGUUGUUAAUCCUGUUCCUUCUCCACCUUGUUGCCACAAUCCAAAAUACCAAAAAGAGUAUG